UACGAAGGGGGCUAGCGUUGCUCGGAAUGACUGGGCGUAAAGGGCGCGUAGGCGGAUGGCACAGUCAGAUGUGAAAUUCCCGGGCUUAACCUGGGGGCUGCAUUUGAUACGUGUGAUCUAGAGUGAGGAAGAGGGUCGUGGAAUUCCCAGUGUAGAGGUGAAAUUCGUAGAUAUUGGGAAGAACACCCGUGGCGAAGGCGGCUCUCUGGGACGGUACUGACGCUGAGACGCGAAAGCGUGGGGAGCGAACAGG
rnacentral:rRNA from 1 species